CGGCAAUGGAGGAAACUCUGACCGAGCAACGCCGCGUGAACGAUGAAGUAUUUCGGUACGUAAAGUUCUUUUAUUAGGGAAGAAUAAAUGAUGGAAAAAUCAUUCUGACGGUACCUAAUGAAUAAGCCCCGGCUAACUAUGUGCCAGCAGCCGCGGUAAUACAUAGGGGGCAAGCGUUAUCCGGAAUUAUUGGGCGUAAAGGGUGCGUAGGCGGUUAAAUAAGUUUAUGGUCUAAGUGCAAUGCUCAACAUUGUGAUGCUAUAAAAACUGUUUAGCUAGAGUAAGAUAGAGGCAAGUGGAAUUCCAUGUGUAGUGGUAAAAUGCGUAAAUAUAUGGAGGAACACCAGUAGCGAAGGCGGCUUGCUGGGUCUUUACUGACGCUGAGGCACGAAAGCGUGGGGAGCAAACAGGAUUAGAUACCCUGGUAGUCCACGCCUUAAACGAUGAGUACUAAACGUUGGGUAAAACCAGUGUUGAAGUUAACACAUUAAGUACUCCGCCUGAGUAGUACGUACGCAAGUAUGAAACUUAAAGGAAUUGACGGGACUCCGCACAAGCGGUGGAUCAUGUUGUUUAAUUCGAAGGUACCCGAAAAACCUCACCAGGUCUUGACAUGCUUCUGCAAAGCUGUAGAAACACAGUGGAGGUUAUCAGUUGCACAGGUGGUGCAUGGUUGUCGUCAGCUCGUGUCGUGAGAUGUUGGGUUAAGUCCCGCAACGAGCGCAACCCUUAUUGUUAGUUACCAGCACGUAAUGGUGGGGACUUUAGCAAGACUGCCAGUGAUAAAUUGGAGGAAGGUGGGGACGACGUCAAAUCAUCAUGCCCCUUAUGACCUGGGCUACAAACGUGAUACAAUGGCUGUUACAAAGAGUAGCUGAA
rnacentral:rRNA from 1 species